UACGUAGGGUGCAAGCGUUGUCCGGAAUUAUUGGGCGUAAAGAGCUCGUAGGCGGUCUGUCGCGUCGGAUGUGAAAUCUCGGGGCUCAACCCCGAGCCUGCAUUCGAUACGGGCAGACUAGAGUUCGGUAGGGGAGACUGGAAUUCCUGGUGUAGCGGUGAAAUGCGCAGAUAUCAGGAGGAACACCGGUGGCGAAGGCGGGUCUCUGGGCCGAAACUGACGCUGAGGAGCGAAAGCGUGGGGAGCAAACAGG
rnacentral:rRNA from 1 species